rnacentral:rRNA from 1 species
AUUGAACGCUGGCGGCAUGCCUUACACAUGCAAGUCGAACGGGAGCGGGGGAGAAGCUUGCUUUUCCUGCCGGCGAGUGGCGAACGGGUGAGUAAUACAUCGGAACGUGCCCUGUAGUGGGGGAUAACUAGUCGAAAGAUUAGCUAAUACCGCAUACGACCUGAGGGUGAAAGUGGGGGACCGCAAGGCCUCAUGCUAUAGGAGCGGCCGAUGUCUGAUUAGCUAGUUGGUGGGGUAAAGGCCUACCAAGGCGACGAUCAGUAGCUGGUCUGAGAGGACGAUCAGCCCCACUGGGACUGAGACACGGCCCAGAAUCCUACGGGAGGCAGCAGUGGGGAAUUUUGGACAAUGGGCGAAAACCUGAUCCAGCAAUGCCGCGUGUGUGAAGAAGGCCUUCGGGUUGUAAAGCACUUUUGUCCGGAAAGAAAUGGCUCUGGUUAAUACCUGGGGUCGAUGACGGUACCGGAAGAAUAAGGACCGGCUAACUACGUGCCAGCCGCCGCGGUAA